rnacentral:rRNA from 1 species
UUAAGCUAAUCUCAAACUAGGACCGAGUCUCGCUUGCGACCGCCGUCCGAAUUGUGUACGUUCAGCUUGCGUGAGAAGCCUCACUCACCGUCUGCCCACUCAUUGUGCACCCUUGCACGGGAAGCCAAGCCUUAUUGAGACCCUUUGAUCUCGAUUAUGGCCUAUGCGGGAAGCCCCCUUUCUAAAUAGCGACUUCCUAGCCGGGCGCAGACUAAUCGAUCAACCACCCCAUUACCGGAUGGUUCCGCUGCUAGUCAUCGACCAGACUCUCCUACUAGUCGGUGUGACCCUGACUCUGUGCCGGGUCUGAGGAUGCCCUCCGUCGUCACCCCUUAUAACCUGUUACCCGCUUUGACUAGGUCGGUACGGCGCACUCACUACUUCCGGAAUCCCAACAUUUCGAGAAAAUAGGCCCUUCUAUUACUGACAUGGCCUUCUUAUUCGGGGCCGAUUGAAGCACGGUCGUCGGCGCCAUUAUGCUUCCCCCGAUCGCAACGAGCCUUAGUGACCCGCAUUUCCCACGCAUCCGCCCAGAAAUUCAGUCCCCACUUUAGGACCUCGAGUUGAGGUCUUGACGGAAACUAUGACUUCUAGAACUCAAGCCCUCUCCACUCACCUUGACGCUCACAUCUCCACUUUAAGCAUCUAUAAGCGUUCUUGUGGUCACCGCUUCCGCCGAGUGACCGGGCUAUGACUGCGACUCCGUGCUUUCGCACCCCUCGUUUGUCCUAAUCUAUGGGACCAUCAGUUAGUGAUCACUU